rnacentral:rRNA from 1 species
UACGUAGGGAGCAAGCGUUGUCCGGAAUCAUUGGGCGUAAAGAGCGUGUAGGCGGCCUGACAGGUCUGCUGUGAAAACUCGAGGCUCAACCUCGAGAUGUCGGCGGAAACCGUCUGGCUAGAGUCCGGAAGAGGAGAGUGGAAUUCCUGGUGUAGCGGUGAAAUGCGCAGAUAUCAGGAAGAACACCUAUGGCGAAGGCAGCUCUCUGGGACGGUACUGACGCUGAGACGCGAAAGCGUGGGGAGCGAACAGG